GCCGUAAAUUAUGCCAACUUGUGCUUCUGCUUCUGCGGAGGCGCAUAGAGAAAUCAAGAGUUUAUGGGCUCUAGGGAUAGUAAUCCGGCAACGGACAAACUUAAAGAAAUUGGCGGAAGGACACCACAAGGAGUGCAAACUAAUGAUAUAUCAUUACAUAGAACAACUAGUAUGUAUUGAAUGAUAUUUUUAUAAAAUAACUAAAAUUAUAA
rnacentral:ncRNA from 1 species